UUACUUUGGUCUUACAUGUGUCGCGACUUUCUACUAGCGACGACCAAGAAGACCUAUAUGUAGAUCCUUUCACUGUUACACUUAUUUAGUUAAACAAGUCCACAAAUUUUGAAUUCAAUAAUGGGGGUUGUCUUCUCGGCUCUCGUUCUGUUCUUCACCAUCAUCACAAGUUUUUCCUCCACUCUAACAACAUCCGCUUCACCAGCUCUCCAUCCAGAUGAAUUGAAAGCGCUUGGGGAGAUAGCUACUACACUUGGAAUCAAGAGACUCAACCUAAGUGAUGGAGAUCCUUGCCUUUUAAAAACUCUUAAACUCGGUGUUGUUUCGAAUCCGGAUUCGGAUGUGGAAAACAUUAUUCUUUGUGAUUGUAGUUUCAACAACAACAUGACAUGUCAUAUUAUAGAACUAAUACUCAAGUCCGUAAGUCUUUCAGGGAAACUCCCGCCUGAGUUGGCCAAACUUCAGCAUCUCCAGAAGAUAAACUUGUGCCGAAACUACCUUUCUGGCUCAAUCCCAAUGGAGUGGGCUUCAAUGCCAAACCUCACUUCCAUCUCGUUCUGCGCAAAUCGUUUGUCUGGGCCAUUACCUCCUGGUUUACAAAACUUUAAGAGUCUAAAAUUCCUAGGGGUUGAAGCCAACCAGUUCUCUGGUCCUAUUCCUGAUGAGCUUGGUAACAUGAUCAACCUAACAGGAUUGGAACUUGCAUCCAAUCAAUUUACAGGAAGCCUUCCUAGCUCUCUUGCUAGACUCGUAAAUCUUGAGAAAUUUAGGAUAAGUGAAAAUAACUUCAGUGGCACCAUCCCAGAAUAUAUUGGCAACUGGUCUCGGCUUACAAGGCUAGAUCUACAAGCAAGUGGACUGAAAGGACCUUUUCCUGACGCAGUGGCCCGCCUAGAAAAUCUUACCAAUCUGUUUAUUAGUGAUAUGACCGGGAUAAACUCUUUUCCUAAUAUAUCUAGCCAAGCCAUCAAAGACCUGGUUUUGAGGAAUGUGAGUAUGUCUGGUAAAAUUCCUUCUUACAUUUGGAGUAAACCAAACUUGAGAUCUCUUGAUUUAUCGUUUAACAAGUUGACCGGUGAAGUUCUUGGAAUAAACCCAGUACCAAAAUUUACUUACUUGACUGGCAAUAUGCUUUCCGGGGAAAUUAAAUCUGGUGUUUACCUCAACAGCAGAUCAAAUAUUGACCUCUCUUAUAACAAUUUCUCAUUGCCGUUUAGCUGCCAAGAAAGGAGUAACAUUAAUACAUACCGGAGCUCAUCCUUAAAGAACACUUUAACUGGUCUUCUUCCAUGCGCUGGUCCAAUCACUUGCAAGCACUAUAAGCGAUCGCUACAUAUAAACUGUGGUGGGGAAACUGUGACUGUUACAAACUCUAUUGGUAAAAUCACUUAUCAAGCUGAUAACAGUGAUCAGGUCAAAGCCGCUACAAAUCAGCACUUCAAGAACUGGGGAAUUAGCAACACUGGUGACUUUAUGGAUGAUAAUAGAGAUGAAGAUACGUACAUCAUUUCUACUAGUUUGACACUACCUGGAGAUUCUCCUGAUCUUUAUAAGACUGCGCGUCGAUCUGCUCUCUCUCUUGUUUAUUAUGCGUUUUGCUUGGAAAAUGGAGAAUAUAAUUUGAAACUUCAUUUUAUGGAGAUUCAGUUUUCAGAUCAAGAACUAUAUAGUCGUCUAGGUAGACGCAUAUUUGAUGUCUAUGUUCAGGGGAAAUUGUUCUUGAGGGAUUUUAACAUCAGACAGGAGGCUAAUGGCACUCUGAAGUCUAUUGUGAAAGAACUGAAAGCUGUUAAUGUGACGGAUCAUAAGUUAGAGAUAUGGUUGUAUUGGGCGGGUAAAGGGACAACACUCAUACCCAAAAGAGGAAACUAUGGUCCUCUUAUCUCUGCAAUCUCCUUGUGCCACAGCCUGGAGCAACAUUGUGGAGUGGAGAAAACCAAACAUCACAUCAAUUAUCCACUAAUUUUUGGGGUAACGGGUCCCUUGGUAGCAAUUAUUUUCUUGGCUUUGGGAAUAUUCUAUGCUCACAGAAAAUUCAGACAGGGCAAGAAAAAGAGAGAAAGAGACUUGAGAGCACGGGGUCUGCAAACUGUUUGCUUUACAUGGAGGCAACUGCAAGCUGCAACUAAUGAUUUUGAUGAAGCCAACAAACUUGGAGAAGGAGGUUUCGGUUCUGUAUUCAAAGGAGAGCUGCCAGAUGGAACUAUCAUAGCAGUGAAGCAGCUUUCUUCCAAGUCAUGCCAAGGAAACCGUGAGUUUGUGAAUGAGAUAGGCAUGAUCUCUGGUCUCAAUCAUCCAAACCUUGUCAAGCUUUAUGGAUGCUGUGUCGAAAAGGAUCAAUUGCUACUUGUGUAUGAGUACAUGGAAAACAACUCCCUUGCUCUUGCUUUGUCUGGAAAGAGCUCCUUGAAACUGGACUGGGCAGCAAGAAAGAAAAUCUGUGUGGGAAUCGGAAAAGGGCUUGAAUUUCUCCAUGAAGGAGCUGCGAUGAGAAUGAUUCACCGUGACAUAAAAACUCCCAAUGUGCUUUUAGAUGCCGACCUUAGUGCAAAGAUAUCUGACUUUGGAUUGGCUAGGCUCCACGAAGAAGAACACACUCACAUUAGCACCAAGAUUGCAGGAACCAUCGGAUAUAUGGCUCCAGAAUAUGCUUUAAUGGGUCAUUUGACCGAGAAAGCAGAUGUGUACAGCUUUGGGGUUGUGGCAAUGGAGAUUGUUAGUGGGAAGAGUAAUACAACACAAAAGGGAAGCGAUGACAAUGCCCCACUUAUUAAAUGGGCCAUGACACUGCAACAGAAAGGGGACAUAAUGGAGAUUGUAGAUCCGAAGCUCGAAGGUGAGUUCAACAGCCUAGAAGCAGAGAGGAUGAUCAAAGUUGCUCUUGUUUGCACAAAUGCAACUCCUUCUUUACGUCCACUGAUGUCAGAGGCUGUGAAAAUGCUGGAGGGGGAGAUGGAAAUACCACAGAUUAUGUCAGGUCCUGCCGUGUAUGGACAUGAUUUGAACUUUUCAAAGCUGAUGGAGAUGUAACAGUCAACAUCCAUGUCUGGCUAUGGUCUGUCCCCAUUUAAUCAAGAAUCAGCCACCUCAAACUCCACAGCAGAGUUUUCUUCUUAGUCAUUGGAGUAUCAAAGGCUAUAUCUUUCUCAAAGAUGAGACCCUAUUUCGAAUAAGCUUAUCCAAAAAGAUGAUGAGCCGGGCUGAGGAUUGAGGAGCUUCUUCAACACAGCCAGAUAGCAAAGGCUGUAGCUUGGAAGCUAUAACGAAAGAGAAAGGUGGAGGUUCUGUCCUGUAGACCCACCACCAGUCUUUGCAUCAACUGAUUCUAAUGAUUUGAAAUUCCUAUGCCUGCCAGAUCCCUUAUCGUUCCUCGCCACACAAAAAGUUGUUUGAAACCUUACGUUGGAAUAUAAUUUAUGCUUACCAUGAAAGUUCCUAGUGUUUAAUCCUGGUCAGAUCAUAUCUGGUCACGAUAUCCUGCUUUCUAUCUCCCUGCGUAUAAAAGCUGCUGAAAUCUAUUUUCCAAAGUUGAUAAUGAAACAUGCAUGAAGCUGUAGGCUGUAACUGUUCACUAUUGCAGAUUGAACAAUAAUUGUAGCUUGCUCAAUAAAUGCAGUUCUCUACUAGCAGACUAGGGGACGACCAAGACCCUAUACGUAAAUAAUACGAAAUAUUUCUCUUUUAAAAACAAUUAAAAAAAGACUUCCAUUUCACAAUUAUUUUAUCUCUUCUUCUUGUUGGUAAAGAUUGUGACUAACCAACCAAGUCUACAUAAUCUAUAUCGAUGAUGUGGAUCGUCUUCUUCUUCAUCAUCAUUACAAGCUUCUUUGCGACUCUAACAACACCCACUUCACCAGCUCUCCAUCCAGAUGAAUUGCAUGCGCUUGAGGAGAUAGCUACUACACUUGGUAUAAAGAGAGUGAACCUAAGUUACAAAGACCCAUGCGAUUCACAAAGUCUAAUGAUCAUAAAACAAGCUGAUAGGAAUCUGGAGGUGAACAACACCAUUGCUUGUGACUGUAGCUUCAACAACAACAUGACAUGUCAUAUUACAGAAUUAAGUCUCGUGAAUUUAACUCUUGUGGGGAAAGUUCCACCUGAGUUAGCCAAGCUUCGACAUCUCCGGUCAACAAUGGGCAAUGAGACAAAAAAUCUGUGUAGGAAUCGCAAGAGGUCUUGCAUUCCUCCACGAAGGAUCUAUAGUCAGGAUGGUUCAUCGUGACAUUAAAACAACAAAUGUGCUUCUAGAUGCUGACCUAAACGCAAAGAUAUCUGACUUUGGUUUGGCCAGGCUCCACGAAGAAGAACACAGUCACAUUAGCACCAAGAUUGCAGGAACCAUGUAAGUUAGUAUAUUAUAGCACAAACUUCAGAGUGUACAUGGCUCCAGAGUAUGCAUUAUGGGGUCAACUAACAGAGAAAGCAGACGUGUAUAGCUUCGGAGCAGUCCCGGCUCUUACCCAUGGCAACAUGGGCAUUUGUCAUGGGUCCAUGGGUCCAAAAAUUUUUUGUGUUGUUUUAAAGGUCCAUUUCAAUCUGUUAAAUUAUCAAAAAGAUUCAUAAUUAAGUAAAUCUAAUUUAUUUAUUACAAGACAAAACAAUAAAAAAUCGGUACAUUCACCAUUAAUUUUGAGAUAUAUUUUUUAUUUGUUUCAGGUAGUGUUUUGAAAACCGGACCAGACAUUGAUUCGGCAUUGUAACUAGAUCAAUGGUCGGACCGGUCCAAUUGGUUCAACUGGGUUUUAAAUUUUAAUUAAAUUUUUUAUUAAGUAACUAUUAUAUGUAUAACAAAAUUAUUUUUAUAAAAUUUUAUAUAAUUAUUAGAAUCUAAAAAUGAUAUGAAAACAAAAUUAUUUUUUUUAAAAAUAAUAUAAUAUAAUGAAAAUAAUUUAUUUAGGUAGAUACUUAGAAAACAAUAUGAAAUUUUUAUGAAAUAUUUUUCAAAUUUGCAGUUUAAAAAAAAUUCUUGAAUUUGAAAAAAUAGGAUUUUAAUAUCAACCUUGAUCACUGGUUUUAGCGAGUUUUGCCGGUUUUUGACCGGGUUUGCCAAUUUAACUCAAAUCCGGUUUUUAGUAUAACCCGGAACCGAAUAGAUGGCCGAGUCACGGUCUGACCGGCCGGUCUGGUCCAGCCGGCCGGUCCGGUCCAGUUUUCAAAACACUGGUUUCAGGUUUUAGAGUUCAAAUUAAAAAAAAUGCAGUGAAGAAAAAUAUAGAAAAUAUUUAUAAAAGGGUCCAUAUUUUGGGUUUCGCCCCGGGCUAUUAUAUUGGUUAAGACGGCACUGCUUCGGAGUUGUGGCCAUGGAGAUUGUUAGUGGCAAGAGUAAUACUAAACACAAGGGAAGUGCUGAUCACGUCUCCCUUAUCAAUUGGGCAUUGACGCUGCAACAGACAGGGGACAUAAUGGAUAUUGUAGAUCCAGUGCUUGAUGGUGACUUCAACAGCAAAGAAGCAGUAAGGAUGAUCAAAGUUGCUCUAGUUUGCACACAUUCAUCUCCUUCUUUAAGACCUACAAUGUCUGAGGCUGUACAAAUGCUCGAAGGAGAGAUUGAAGUAACGCAAGUUAUGUCAGAUCAUGGUUUAUAUGGGCAUAACUGGAGCAUCUCAAAGCUGAGGGACGCUGAUACACAUGCUAGCCUGAACAUAUAUGGUGUGACCGAUCAAACAGCAUCGACAAUGAAGUCCUCUGUUUCUGCUAGUGAUCUCUACCCGUUGUAUCCCGAAUCUCUGAUCCUAAACUCCACAUAAACAAGAAAGAAGCAGAGACGUUGAUAAAAGUGGCUCUCGUGUGCACGAGCAAUUCUGCGUCAGAUCGUCCAAUUAUGUCAGAGGUGGUUGGUAUGCUGGAAGGUCACUAUCCAGUACCGGAACCAACCCCGGGAACAAGCAGGAAAUCAGGGGAUAUAAGGUUUAGGGCGUUUAAAGAUGUAAGGAAAGGCAUGGAAGAGAACAACAGUAAGACUCAGUUUUCUCUUAAUAGUUAUCCUUCUUCUUCUUCCGAUACUCAUGUGGCUGGACAAGAAAGAAAGCAAGAUGAGUCAGGGCCUUGAAGAGGUUUCCAAUUUGCUGUCCUCUCUCUAUAUUUUGUAAAUGAUAUGAGUUUUAAUUAUGUAAAACCGUUUGGAAGUUUAUUACACGAUUAGUCCAUUUACUGUGCUU